rnacentral:rRNA from 1 species
UAAUACGUAGGUGGCAAGCGUUGUCCGGAUUUAUUGGGUUUAAAGGGUGCGUAGGUUGUUUAGUAAGUCAGUGGUGAAAUCCGGCAGCUUAACUGUCGAUGUGCCAUUGAUACUGCUGAACUUGAGUACAGACGAGGUAGGCGGAAUUGACGGUGUAGCGGUGAAAUGCUUAGAUAUCGUCAAGAACACCGAUAGCGAAGGCAGCUUACUAGACUGUAACUGACACUGAUGCACGAAAGUGUGGGGAUCAAACAGGAUUAGAUACCCUGGUAGUCCACACUGUAAACGAUGAUUACUCGAUGUUGGCGAUACACGGCCAGCGUCUUAGCAAAAGCGAUAAGUAAUCCACCUGGGGAGUACGCCCGCAAGGGUGAAACUCAAAUGAAUUGACGG